UGGCCCAUUUUCUGCUACUUUCCCAGGAAGCUUAGCAGGCAGCUGUAUUAGAAGUGGAGCAGCCGGGCUUGGAGCCAGUGCACAUGUGGGAUACAAGGGACAGCUUUACCUUCUGUGCCACUGCCAGUCCCCAUUCACCACUCUUCAUCUCAUCACAAAGGUAUUGCAUCAUCUCAUCACAAGAAGAAAGUGACCCUUGCAUUUGGAUGCUGGACAACAGACUGAACUUUCCAGAUAUGGUUGCAACUGGGGUUCUGGAUGGAGCUUAGGUUUAGCCAAAUAAGGGGCCGGUGCUGUGGCACAGCGGGUUAAAGCCCUGGCCUAAAGCCCUGGCAUCCCAUAUGGGUGCCGGUUCGAGUCCUGGCUGCUCCUCUUCAAAUCCAGCUCUCUGCCAUGGCCUGGGAAAGCGGUAGAAGAUGGCCCAAGACUUUAGGCCCCUGCACCGAUGUGGGUGACCCAGAAGAAGCUCCUGGCUCCUGGCUUCGGAUCGGCACAGCUCUGGCCAUUGUGGCCAUCUGGGGAGUAAACCAGCAAUGUAACUCUGUCUUACAAAUAAAUAAAAGAAAUUAAAAAAAAAAAACUUGUAUUCAAUGCAUUAUGUCAGUUACAGAAUUUGAAAUAUUUGUAAAUUAAACUUACAGAAUAAUAAAUAAGUGUUUGAUAGACAUAAUAAAAUGGAUACAAAUAUACUUCCCAUUAAACACUUGGUAGCUCCAAAGGCAAGUAGGAAUUUUGACAUUUGCUUCCCUUUUAAUAAUAUGCAAAAUCCAAACGUAUCUUAUGAUGUCACACAAAAAUAAAUCACUUAUAUUUUUAUAGCAGCUUAUCUUUUUAUUUAUUUAAUGUAUACAAAUUUCAUGUAUUUCCUAUAAACAGAUUCGGGAACAUUGCAAUACUUCUCAUGCUACCCUCCCAUCUACACUCCUGCCAUUCUUCUUCCUCCCUCUCCUACUCCCAUUCUUAAUUUUUAUAAAGAUCUAUUUUCAGUUUACUUUAUACUCAUAAGAUUAACUUUUCACUAAGUAAAGAGUUCAACAAAUAGUAUGAAGAAUAAAACACUGUUCCUCAACAGUUGAGACAAGAGCUCUGAACAUCAUCGGGUCUCAAAAUGUCCAUUCAACUCCUAUACAUUAUAUUUUUGGUACUUGAUUAGUUAUCACGUAUUAGGGGAAACAUGAUAUUUGUCUUUUUGGGACUAGCUUAUUUCACUAUGUAUAUAGUUUUCAGUUGCAUCCAUUUUCUUGCAGAAGAUAGGACUUCAUGUUUUUACCCCAAUAUGUAGUAUUCCAAAGUGUAUGUAUACCAUAAUUUUUGAGAGGUCACUAGUUGACCCCUAGCAAGCAUUCAAAAUAAUUAUUGUAGUGUCCUAUAAUGACAGUGUCAACAACAGGAGUCACUGUGCACUUACUCCUCAUGUAGGAUCUUUGUCCUUAGUGUGCUGUACAUUGAGAUUUAAUGCUAUAACUAGUAUUCAAACAGUAUUUUUCACUUUAUGUUUCUGUGUGGGAGCAAACUGUUGAAAUCUUUACUUAAUGUAUGCUAAACUGAUCUUCUGUAUAUAAAGAGAAUCGAAAAUGAAUCUUGAUAUGAAUGGAAGGGGAGAGGGAGUGGAUAAGGGGAGGGUUGCAGGU